UACGUAGGGGGCAAGCGUUGUCCGGAUUUAUUGGGCGUAAAGAGCGUGUAGGCGGCCAGAUAGGUCCGUUGUGAAAACUCGAGGCUCAACCUCGAGACGCCGAUGGAAACCAUCUGGCUAGAGUCCGGAAGAGGAGAGUGGAAUUCCCGGUGUAGCGGUGAAAUGCGCAGAUAUCGGGAAGAACACCCGUGGCUAAGGCGGCUCCCUAGUACGGUACUGACGCUGAGACGCGAAAGCGUGGGGAGCGAACAGG
rnacentral:rRNA from 1 species